CAUCUCCCCAGGUUGCCGGCCUCCUGAAUAAAGCAACCUUUCCGUUCCUACCAGCACUUGUCUCUUGACCUUUUGAGAGGUGAGCAGCCAAACCUGAGUAUAGAAACAGAGAAGCCAGGAGAUGGGCUGGUGCCAGGGCCUUGGAGAACAUUCAUCACGUGCUCAAGGCCAAAGAGCAAUAAGAUAAUGGAGCUGAAAUUGUAUUUCUUCAGUCACCAUGAGCUUUCUGCAAACUUCCUCUGUGCUGGAUACAACUGCUGGCACCUGGGAUACAUAAGUGAGCAAACAGGCUGGGUUUCUUGUCCCUGAUGGAGACUGUAUUCUACUCUAGUGGAUUUGAAUGCAGAGUUGCUUAUCUGGAUGACUCCUGAUCUGCUUAAACUGACAUAUUCUAACAUCAACAUCUACCUGCCUUCAAGCUGUAAGACAAUCACCAGUGACUGAUAAUACUCCUGUGGCCCUUGGAAACCUACAAACCUCAUUUAUAU